rnacentral:lncRNA from 1 species
UUAGAAAUUUACUUCAAUUUAAAAAUAUAAAAUAAAUUUGAUUAUUAUUAUGACCUAUUUUUAAAAACACACAUAAAAAUCUUUAAUAAGAUAUAAUAAACAAGAAAUUAACAAAACAAAAAAAACCAUUUCAAACUUAAUUUAUUNUUUUUAGAAAUUUACUUCAAUUUAAAAAUAUAAAAUAAAUUUGAUUAUUAUUAUGACCUAUUUUUAAAAACACACAUAAAAAUCUUUAAUAAGAUAUAAUAAACAAGAAAUUAACAAAACA